rnacentral:precursor_RNA from 2 species
GCUCAGCUCAUAUAGGACCACACCUUAGCUCUCGCUUUAGCACAUUUUAAAUCCUGCAAAAUUUUAGCUCCUCCCGUUUCAAACGAACUGUAAUAUAAUUUCUCUCGCUAGCUAUAUGCUUUCUUGCUAUAGCUUCUGCUCUAUAAAUAAGCUUACAUGCCCUAGCCCCUCUCUUCACUCUUCACCUCUCCAUUUAGCUUUGUGAUGUGUGCACCUUAAGCAGCUGAAGCUGCCAGCAUGAUCUGAUCUUUUGCGAUCUCUUUUUUUAUCUGAAUAAGUUGAUGGAAAUAUUGGGUUCCUAAGAUUCAGAUCGUGCUGCGCAGUUUCAUCUGCUAAUCGAUGCACUACACUGUGAAUUUCUUUCUAUCAUAUAUUACUAGAUAUUCAUUUCUAGAUCUUAUCUGAAGAUUAGACAGAAAAAACGCAAUAUAUAGAGUAGAUCCAGACAGAUCAGCUGUCUGAUCGAUCUUGCAUGCAAAAACCCGUGGAGAUUGAGAUCUAGACAGAUCGUACUUAUGCAUAUAUAUUGACUGUUGUAAUCUGCACAGGAGUCAUAUGCAUAUUGAUCGAUCAACCGAGGUAUGCAUGCAUAUAUAUGGUUUAUCUCUG